CCUACGGGAGGCAGCAGUAGGGAAUAUUGGGCAAUGGAGGAAACUCUGACCCAGCCAUGCCGCGUGCAGGAUGACGGCCCUCUGGGUUGUAAACUGCUUUUAUACGGGAAGAAAAAAUGCUACGUGUAGCACAUUGACGGUACCGUAAGAAUAAGGAUCGGCUAACUCCGUGCCAGCAGCCGCGGUAAUACGGAGGAUCCAAGCGUUGUCCGGAUUUAUUGGGUUUAAAGGGUGCGUAGGCGGAUCUUUAAGUCAGUGGUGAAAGCCUGCAGCUCAACUGUAGAACAGCCAUUGAAACUGAAGAUCUUGAAUAUGGUUAAAGUAGGCGGAAUGUAUCAUGUAGCGGUGAAAUGCUUAGAUAUGAUACAGAACACCGAUAGCGAAGGCAGCUUGCUGAACCAUUAUUGACGCUGAGGCACGAAAGCGUGGGGAGCAAACAGGAUUAGAUACCCUGGUAGUCCACGCCCUAAACGUUGAUUACUCGUUGUUGGCGAUAUACUGUCAGCGACUAAGCUAAAGCGUUAAAGUAAUCCACCGUGGGAAGUACGACCGCGAAGGUUGAAACUUAAAGGAAUUGACGG
rnacentral:rRNA from 1 species